ACUUUUUUAAUAUAAUAAUUAUAGAUGACUUCCAAUCAUCCAGCCUCAGCAAAACCUGAGAAAAAGUA
rnacentral:tRNA from 1 species